UACGAAGGUCCCAAGCGUUGUUCGGAAUCACUGGGCGUAAAGCGUGUGUAGGCUGCGCGGAAAGUCGGAUGUGAAAGCCUGGGGCUCAACCCCGGAACUGCAUUCGAUACUCCCGCGCUAGAGUGAUGGAGAGGUAACUGGAAUUCUCGGUGUAGCAGUGAAAUGCGUAGAUAUCGAGAGGAACACCAAUGGCGAAAGCAAGUUACUGGACAUCUACUGACGCUCAGACACGAAGGCUAGGGGAGCGAAAGGG
rnacentral:rRNA from 1 species